CCUUGGACGAGAGCCAAGUGAACAAAACCAAAAGUGUUUUCAUUGUACUGGUUUUACAGGAAAUGCAGUGCAGCCACGUCAAACAAAACUGAAGACAUCUCAAAAAGUCACACGACUAGAAAGGUUUGCACUGCACUGACAUCUUUCCACCAUGGCUGGCACGAGCUCUGAUCUGCAGCACAGAAGAGGACGCCAAAACACACAGAUACAAAAGACAGGUCCUCUGGCCAGUAGGUGGCGCAGCGACUAUACCAUAUCAGCAUGCGACCAAAGUCAGAUGUUCAACAUGACUGUAAAGGAGGAGUUCAUUCAAAUACAAGGGCCAACAAGAAUGAGUCAGCUGACAACCAAAUCCUCUCCAAAUUCUGACCACAAGCAUACAUGCAUAAUUGUUGGUGUCAUAGCAGGAGCAGUGGUGGGACUAUUUUUUGGUGCAAGUCUAUUUCGAGGUAACCCAAUUUUAGGCACACUGGCUGGAGCAAUAGUUGGGGGCUUUUUCGGAUAUGGUGCUGGAAAAGAGUCAUCAACACCAACAGAGGCUACAUUGAAGUCCGUGAGGGAUGUCGGUGCAGUCGGUACCGUGUUCAAACAAGCAAAGGGUGCUUUGUAGGGUGGAGACUCGAAAGAUACAAAAUGAGUACAUUUAGAGACAAAUCGUUGGGUUUAUGGGUUGAACAAAUGUUUUUAAUCAACCAACUGCUUCUUUGCCCGCUUUGAAUCAUCUCAGCAGCACUCAUCUGCUCCAGCCAUGCCCCAGCCCCCACCCCAUCUGGCUCCUGCACCGCUCCACUCACUAUACAGGAGCACCAUGUCAGACGUGUGUACCUGACAGUGAACCCCAAGAGGGCUCCCGGCCCAGACGGAGUACCUGGCAAGGUGCUCAAAGCGCGCGCCCACCACCUCGCCCCCACCUUUACCAGGAUCUUCAACCUCUCACUGGCCCAGGCAGUCAUCCCACCCUGCCUGAAAUCUUCCACAAUAAUCCCGGUGCCAAAAAAGUCUUCGUCACCAGCAUGAAUGAUUACCGACCAGUGGCCCUCACUCCGGUAAUCAUGAAGUGCUUUGAGAGACUAGUUCUUCAGCACAUCAAGGACCAUCUCAUCAAGGACAAUCAAAGGCAUUCUAUUCUAUUCUAUUAUGUGAAAAAUUAUUUCUAUGAUUAUGUUACCUAUAGUGGGUUUACUUUGUUUUGUUUUUAACAAUAAUCAAUGUAACCUAAGUCAUUAUGUGUUUAUUGUACAUUAUUAAAUGAUCAAAAAUGUAAGUUUUUAAAGGACC
ensembl:lncRNA